GAGACACCCCUAUGGAGCAGGACUUGCUUCAUUGGGGCUUUGGUGCUCACUGAGUCUCCCCUUUAAGUGUGUCACU
rnacentral:pre_miRNA from 1 species